GUCCACGCCGUAAACGAUGUCGACUUGGAGGUUGUUCCCUUGAGGAGUGGCUUCCGGAGCUAACGCGUUAAGUCGACCGCCUGGGGAGUACGGCCGCAAGGUUAAACUCAAAUGAAUUGACGGGGCCCGCACAAGCGGUGGAGCAUGUGGUUUAAUUCGAUGCAACGCGAAGAACCUUACCUACUCUUGACAUCCAGAGAAUUCGCUAGAGAUAGCUUAGUGCCUUCGGGAACUCUGAGACAGGUGCUGCAUGGCUGUCGU
rnacentral:rRNA from 1 species